rnacentral:lncRNA from 10 species
AAAAAUCAGCUUAACGUUGAUUCUUGAAGAUGAUUCCAAGUAGCAACUUGGACUAGGAAAACUGAAUACAAUGCCCAGGAGCCCCCGUGGCAGUACAGAUGCAAAGUCUGCAACUCAAUUUUACUAUUCCUUGAACUACAGUACUACAUGGGUGGUGCCAAGCAACCGGAAUCCUUGAGCAAUUUAGGCAAUCUGAUCAAGCAAUCUGAUAUUGGAAGACAUCCUACACAGAUUGCAAUA